GGGCGAGUGGCGGAAUUUGGUAUACGCGUUCGACUUAAAAUCGAAUUCCUAACGGAUUAUGGGUUCAAGUCCCAUCUCGCCCACCA
rnacentral:tRNA from 1 species